CCUACGGGUGGCAGCAGUGGGGAAUAUUGGGCAAUGGAGGCAACUCUGACCCAGCGACGCCGCGUGAAUGAUGAAGGUCUUCGGAUUGUAAAGUUCUGUGAUGGGGGAUGAAAACAAUGACGGUAGACUAAUAGGAAGCAACGGAUAACUACGUGCCAGCAGCCGUGGUAAUACGUAGGUGGCAAGCGUUAUGCGGAAUGACUGGGCGUAAAGGGAGCGUCGGUGGUCUAGUAAGUUGGCGGUGUAAUUCCGGGGCUCAACCUCGGCGCUACUGCAAAAACUGUUAGACUAGAGUGCAGGGGAGGUAAGUGGAAUUCCUAGUGUAGCGGUGGAAUGCGUAGAUAUUAGGAGGAACAUCAGGGGCGAAGGCGACUUACUGGACUGUAACUGACACUGAGGCACGAAAGCGUGGGGAGCAAACAGGAUUAGAUACCCCAGUAGUC
rnacentral:rRNA from 1 species